CCUACGGGUGGCAGCAGUGGGGGAUAUUGCACAAUGGGGGAAACCCUGAUGCAGCGACGCCGCGUGGGUGAAGAAGCGCCUCGGCGCGUAAAGCCCUGUCAGCAGGGAAGAAAAUGACGGUACCUGACGAAGAAGCCACGGCUAACUACGUGCCAGCAGCCGCGGGCAUACGUAGGGGGCAAGCGUUAUCCGGAUUUACUGGGGGUAAAGGGGGCGCAGACGGCGCUGCAAGCCAGGAGUGAAAGCGCGGGGGCCAACCCCGGGACUGCUGUUGGAACUGCGUGGCUAGAGUGCAGGAGGGGCAGGCGGAAUGCGUGGUGUAGCGGUGAAAUGCGUAGAUAUCAGGAGGAACACCGGUUGCGAAGGCAGCCUGCUGGACUGCAACUGACGUUGAGGCCCGAAAGCGUGGGGAGCAAACAGGAUUAGAUACCCUAGUAGUC
rnacentral:rRNA from 1 species